UACGGAGGGUGCGAGCGUUAAUCGGAAUUACUGGGCGUAAAGCGUGCGUAGGCGGUUUGAUAAAGUCGGGUGUGAAAGCCCCCCGGCUCAACUGGGGAGGGUCACUCGAUACUGAUCGACUCGAAGGCAGGAGAGGGUAGUGGAAUUCCCGGUGUAGUGGUGAAAUGCGUAGAUAUCGGGAGGAACACCAGUGGCGAAGGCGACUACCUGGCCUGUUCUUGACGCUGAGGCGCGAAAGCUAGGGGAGCAAACGGG
rnacentral:rRNA from 1 species